rnacentral:rRNA from 1 species
GUGUACAAGGCCCGGGAACGUAUUCACCGCGGCAUGCUGAUCCGCGAUUACUAGCAAUUCCGACUUCAUGCAGGCGAGUUGCAGCCUGCAAUCUGAACUGAGACGUUGUUUUUGAGUUUUGCUCCGCCUCGCGGCUUCGCUUCUCUUUGUUAAACGCCAUUGUAGUACGUGUGUAGCCCAGGUCAUAAAGGGCAUGAUGAUUUGACGUCAUCCCCACCUUCCUCCGUUUUGUCAACGGCAGUCUCGCCAGAGUCCUCUUGCGUAGUAACUGGCAAUAAGGGUUGCGCUCGUUGCGGGACUUAACCCAACAUCUCACGACACGAGCUGACGACAACCAUGCACCACCUGUCUCGAUGUCCCGAAGGACUUCACAUAUCUCUAUGCUAUGCAUCGGAUGUCAAGACCUGGUAAGGUUCUUCGCGUUGCUUCGAAUUAAACCACAUACUCCACUGCUUGUGCGGGCCCCCGUCAAUUCCUUUGAGUUUCAACCUUGCGGUCGUACUCCCCAGGUGGAUUACUUAUUGUGUUAACUGCGGCACUGAAGGGGUCAAUCCUCCAACACCUAGUAAUCAUCGUUUACGGCAUGGACUACCAGGGUAUCUAAUCCUGUUUGCUACCCAUGCUUU